AACGGUAACAUGAGUGCUUGCACUUGAUGACGAGUGGCGGACGGGUGAGUAAUGUAUGGGGAUCUGCCGAAUGGAGGGGGACAACAGUUGGAAACGGCUGCUAAUACCGCAUAAAGUUGAGAGACCAAAGCAUGGGACCUUCGGGCCAUGCGCCAUUUGAUGAACCCAUAUGGGAUUAGCUAGUUGGUAGGGUAAAGGCUUACCAAGGUGACGAUCUCUAGCUGGUCUGAGAGGAUGACCAGCCACACUGGAACUGAGACACGGUCCAGACUCCUACGGGAGGCAGCAGUGGGGAAUAUUGCACAAUGGGGGAAACCCUGAUGCAGCCAUGCCGCGUGUCUGAAGAAGGCCUUCGGGUUGUAAAGGACUUUUGUUAGGGAAGAAAAGCCGGGUGUUAAUACCACCUGGUGCUGACGGUACCUAAAGAAUAAGCACCGGCUAACUACGUG
rnacentral:rRNA from 1 species